UUAAAGUGUUUUGCAUCUUGGAGAAUGGAAUCCAGAUCUUCCACCUGGAAGAACUGAGACAAUCAUUAGUUCCAUCUCCCAGGGGAAGGAUUCAGGCACUGCUGGGCACUUGGAUUCAGAAAGAAGCCAGCAUCUUCCCUGCUUCGCUUUGCUUGGAGUCCAGUGGAGGAGACAGAGGGGGAGACAAGCCUCAGGAGACAGAAUUAAUCCUGGCUACCAAAAAAUUCAAUCAUCCACCUCUAGCACUGUGGACUGUAACUCUUGAGAAGAGGCAGUCGGCAUGAAGUACCAUUCACACCAUUCAGCAUUUGAUUGCUGCUUUAGGAAGUAUAAUGUAUUUGUUAACUCAAGGAAGUAACUCAACCUCUCUGGGCUUUACUUGUUUUAUCUGCUGAAUCAAGAUGUUACAUGAGAUAAUGUCAGAGGGUUCUGUGAUUGAAUGGAUUCAAAAUCUAUGAGCCACAAUUCCAGAUGUGAUGGGGAGCUUUUGAACCUCCAUCCUUUGUUCAUCUGGGCCUU
rnacentral:lncRNA from 12 species